UGUGUUUCUAGGAAGACAUUUGAGACACCAAAAAGAAGAGAUGUCUUUGAUUUUAUUAUUAAUCUAUACUAAAGACACAUAUCAAAAGCUAUGCUAUGAGGAUGCUCUUAGAAUAAUCUAGGUCCGAUUACUCCUCUCUCAGUAUAAUCAUUCCUCCCAAAAAUUGUCCUAAAACCUUGUUGUGCUCUCUGAUAAUAAAUAGCAAGUUGCUAUUUAAGAUCAUCCGCAUUGCAUAACUAACAAAAAUGUCCUCCCAUAUUAAUUCAAUUAUUAAAAUGUGCAGGGUGAUUUUAAAUGAGAGACCCCUUUCCCAAAAUGUCUCAAUUG